rnacentral:rRNA from 1 species
UACGUAGGGUGCGAGCGUUAAUCGGAAUUACUGGGCGUAAAGCGUGCGCAGGCGGUUCGUUGUGUCGGCGGUGAAAGCCCCGGGCUCAACCUGGGAAUGGCCGUUGAAACUGCCGUACUUGAGUACUUAAGAGGAUCGCGGAAUUCCCGGUGUAGAGGUGAAAUUCGUAGAUAUCGGGAGGAACACCAGUGGCGAAGGCGGCGACCUGGGCCAAUAUUGACGCUGAGGUGCGAAAGCGUGGGGAGCAAACAGG